rnacentral:sRNA from 1 species
AUGGGAAGGGGUUGCUGAAGCUGAAGAAUCUCAGGGCAGGGCAGUUGUUGGGGAGACUGAAGCUUCCCCUGGAGGACUUAAUCUUCCUUCUAGGUCUGGGUGCUAAGAAUUGAGCCACACCUGUUCAGGGAAGGCAAGAUUUCCCCUUCUGCAUGACAACCCCAGUUUAGCCUGCUGGGUAAGAGCAUAUGCUGGGCUUGAAUCUGUGCUCUGCCACUUACUAGCUGUGUGACCCUGACCUUGGACAAGUCCCUUCAGGUCUCUGAGCCUCAGUUUUCACAUCUGUAAAAUGAGGAUGAUGAUCAUAGUCUUUUCUUCGUGGCACUGUGCAGAAGAUUCAAUGAAAUGAUAUGUGUAGAAUGCAAAUAAGUAGGGCAGCAUUUAUUAAAUAGGACUGAUGGUGGUGGCUAUUAUUAGUACGAUUAUUAUUAGGAAGGAGGUCCCUGAGGAUGACCCCUCCAAAGGGCCCUGAUUUCCAGGGGUUCCUGCUGAUGGUCCCGUCUUUUCUUUUCCUGAUUCCAGGCCCUAGAGGAAGCACUGAGCAUCCAAAGCCCACCAUCAUCUCCGCCAACAGCAUUUGGGAGCCCAGAAGGAGCAGGGGCCCUCCUAAGGAAACAGGAGCUGGUCACGCAGAAUGAGUUGCUGAAACAGCAGGUGAAGAUCUUCGAGGAGGACUUCCAGAGGGAGCGCAGUGAUCGUGAGCGCAUGAAUGAGGAGAAGGAAGAGCUGAAGAAGCAAGUGGAGAAGCUGCAGGCCCAGGUCACCCUGUCGAAUGCCCAGCUGAAAGCAUUCAAAGAUGACGAGAAGGCAAGAGAAGCCCUCAGACAGCAGAAGAGGAAAGCAAAGGCCUCAGGAGAGCGCUACCAUGUGGAGCCCCACCCGGAACAUCUCUGCGGGGCCUACCCCUAUGCCUACCCACCCAUGCCAGCCAUGGUGCCACACCAUGGCUUCGAGGACUGGUCCCAGAUCCGCUACCCCCCUCCCCCCAUGGCCAUGGAGCACCCGCCCCCACUCCCCAACUCGCGCCUCUUCCAUCUGCCGGAAUACACCUGGCGUCUACCCUGUGGAGGGAUUCGGAAUCCAAAUCAGAGCUCCCAAGUGAUGGACCCUCCCACAGCCAGGCCUACAGAACCAGAGUCUCCAAAAAAUGACCGUGAGGGGCCUCAGUGAGACCAGAUUGUGUCAUUUGGCUCCACCUUCAUCUUGCAGAGCCAGCUGAUCUCAGAUUGCCGAAAAACUAGAAGCCACUUGCACGGUGUGGCCAGAGCCUCAGCUGGAUGAGAGGCUGAGAUGGGUGGCCAGCUUGUACACCAGUCCCUGAACUGAGCUGUUUACAGGACUGGGGAGGCUCCACCCAGAAGGCUUUCAUUUGUACUCUGCUGAGAGUGACUGGGAAAAA